rnacentral:rRNA from 1 species
UACAGAUUGAACGCUGGCGCAGGCCUAACACAUGCAAGUCGAGCGGUAGAGAGGUGCUUGCAUCUCUUGAGAGCGGCGGACGGGUGAGUAUGCCUAGGAAUCUGCCUAGUGGUGGGGGAUAACGUUCGGAAACGGACGCUAAUACCGCAUACGUCCUACGGGAGAAAGCGGGGGGAUCUUCGGACCUCGCGCCAUUAGAUGAGCCUAGGUCGGAUUAGCUAGUUGGUGAGGUAAUGGCUCACCAAGGCGACGAUCCGUAACUGGUCUGAGAGGAUGAUCAGGUCACACUGGAACUGAGACACGGUCCAGACUCCUACGGGAGGCAGCAGUGGGGAAUAUUGGACAAUGGGCGAAAGCCUGAUCCAGCCAUGCCGCGUGUGUGAAGAAGGUCUUCGGAUUGUAAAGCACUUUAAGUUGGGAGGAAGGGUAGUAACCUAAUACGUUGCUACUUUGACGUUACCGACAGAAUAAGCACCGGCUAACUUCGUG